rnacentral:rRNA from 1 species
AUUGAACGCUGGCGGCAUGCUUUACACAUGCAAGUCGGACGGCAGCACAGAGAAGCUUGCUUCUUGGGUGGCGAGUGGCGAACGGGUGAGUAAUAUAUCGGAACGUACCGAGUAAUGGGGGAUAACUAAUCGAAAGAUUAGCUAAUACCGCAUAUUCUCUGAGGAGGAAAGCAGGGGACCUUCGGGCCUUGCGUUAUUCGAGCGGCCGAUAUCUGAUUAGCUAGUUGGUGGGGUAAAGGCCUACCAAGGCGACGAUCAGUAGCGGGUCUGAGAGGAUGAUCCGCCACACUGGGACUGAGACACGGCCCAGACUCCUACGGGAGGCAGCAGUGGGGAAUUUUGGACAAUGGGCGCAAGCCUGAUCCAGCCAUGCCGCGUGUCUGAAGAAGGCCUUCGGGUUGUAAAGGACUUUUGUCAGGGAAGAAAAGGCUGUUGCUAAUAUCAAUAGCUGAUGACGGUACCUGAAGAAUAGGCACCGGCUAACUACGUG